UACGGAGGGUGCAAGCGUUAUCCGGAUUCACUGGGCGUAAAGGGUGCGUAGGCUGCGCAGAAAGUUGGGUGUGAAAUCCCUCGGCUCAACCGAGGAACUGCGCCCAAAACUACUGUGCUCGAGGAAGAUAGAGAUGAGCGGAACUUACGGUGGAGCGGUGAAAUGCGUUGAUAUCGUAAGGAACACCUGUGGCGAAAGCGGCUCACUGGGUCUUUUCUGACGCUGAUGCACGGAAGCUAGGGGAGCAAACGGG
rnacentral:rRNA from 1 species